rnacentral:lncRNA from 12 species
GGAACAGCUGAAGGAGAGCAAAAGAUCACAAAGGAUCUUCUUUUGUUUGCCACAUAUGCAUGCAAUAGAGCUGGAAGGAGAAAAGUAUUUUGAUUUCUCAGGGAACCUUGAUGUUCCAACCGUUUGAAAUUGCCUGUAAAAAAGGACUGGAGCCGGAGUUGUUGGAUACUGGAGUGUUGGCCAUGGCUGUAGCCAUGAUCCUGGUGUCUCUGAGCUCCCCAGUCACUAGGACACUGUGCUGUGCCUGCUGCUCUGCCCUGGCAUUGUAAGCCCAAGGGUCCUUAAUCUUCAG